rnacentral:rRNA from 1 species
GGAAUAUUGGACAAUGGGGGAAACCCUGAUCCAGCAAUGCCGCGUGAGUGGAGAAGGCCUUAGGGUUGUAAAGCUCUUUCAGCGGGGAAGAUGAUGAAGGUACCCGCAGAAGAAGCCCCGGCUAACUCCGUGCCAGCAGCCGCGGUAAUACGGAGGGGGCUAGCGUUGUUCGGAAUUACUGGGCGUAAAGCGCACGUAGGCGGUCGCGCAUGUCAGAUGUGAAAGCCCCGGGCUUAACCUGGGAAUUGCAUUUGAAACUGCGCAGCUAGAGGCCGGAAGAGGGUAGUGGAAUUCCCAGUGUAGAGGUGAAAUUCGUAGAUAUUGGGAAGAACACCGGUGGCGAAGGAGGCUACCUGGUCCGGUUCUGACGCUCAGGUGCGACAGCGUGGGGAGCAA